UGUCUCCUCUGAUCUGGGUACCAGCUUCCACUUGGAUCAUGCAGCCUCUCUUCCGUAUUUUCUGGAGAAGACCACUUUCAAAGGCCGUGUUUUUAUGACUCAUGCAACUAAAGCCAUAUACAAGCUUCUUUUAUCCGAUUAUGUUAAAGUCAGCAAAGUUUCAGUUGAAGAUAUGUUGUAUAAUGAGCAAGAUAUUCUUCGAUCCAUGGACAAGAUUGAGGUAUGUUUACUUUUAUGAUAAGACACUAUUAAAUAUCUUACCCCAACCUAAAUGAAAAAGCUUGUAUGUGGUAUACUCCCACCUCUGGUCUCUUGUUCCCUCUUUUUAUUUUUAUUAAUUAUUUUUGGACUUCUUCACUCCAAGUUGUAUUGGUUGUAUCAAGUAUUCAUGUGGUUUGGCUCAGAAGGUUAGGAGCUUUGGUACUUUGUAGCAAGGGAACUCCAUUUUUCAGAACCUUCCAUGUUGGACA